rnacentral:rRNA from 1 species
CAUUUUCUGCCACCGAAUACAUUAGCAUGGGAUAAUGGAAUAGGACCCUGUCCUCCUAUUUUCAGUUGGUUUUGGCAGCGCGAGGACUAGGGUAAUGAUUAAUAGGGAUAGUUGGGGGCAUUAAUAUUUAAUUGUCAGAGGUGAAAUUCUUGGAUUUAUGAAAGAUUAACUUCUGCGAAAGCAUCUGCCAAGGAUGUUUUCAUUAAUCAAGAACGAAAGUUAGGGGAUCGAAGACGAUCAGAUACCGUCGUAGUCUUAACCAUAAACGAUGCCGACCAGCGAUUAGGAGACGUUGAAUACAAAACACCACCAUCGGUUGCGGUCGUCCUUGGCGUCUCGGUUUCGGCCGGGGCGCGGGGACGG